GUUAGCCAUUCACAUUGCUUGA
rnacentral:miRNA from 1 species